rnacentral:rRNA from 1 species
ACACAUUGAUCAUGUGUUUAACAAUGAAUAUCUUAGCUCGCUUGAUGAUGAAGAAUGUAGCAAAAUGCAAUAAUCAUUGUGAAUUGCAAAAUUCCGUGAAGCAAAAGGUGUGUGAAUGCCAUUGGUGCCUUUGGGAUAUGCCUGAGGGUAUGCUUGAUUCAAUGUUAAGC